rnacentral:rRNA from 1 species
GGGAACCCUGACGGAGCAACGCCGCGUGCGGGAGGGCGGCCUGUGGGUUGUAAACCGCUUUUCUCAGGGAAGAAGUUCUGACGGUACCUGAGGAAUCAGCAUCGGCUAACUCCGUGCCAGCAGCCGCGGUAAUACGGAGGAUGCAAGCGUUAUCCGGAAUUAUUGGGCGUAAAGCGUCCGUAGGCGGUGAGUUAAGUCUGCUGUCAAAGCCUGCAGCUCAACUGUGGAGUGGCAGUGGAAACUGAUUGACUAGAGUGCGAUAGGGGUAGAGGGAAUUCCCAGUGUAGCGGUGAAAUGCGUAGAUAUUGGGAAGAACACCAGUGGCGAAGGCGCUCUACUGGGUCGCAACUGACGCUGAGGGACGAAAGCUAGGGGAGCG